GGAGCACUGCGACAUCCAAUUAACCACGUCUUUUUGUUCAUCUGAGUCACAGGGCUGUAUGCAUGCCCAGUGCAUGUCUCUCCCGCAGGAGGAAGACUUCCAGCUGGGCUGAAUCUGGCCCGGCUCCUCUUUUUCUUGCCACAGGGUGAAAGGAGGUCUUGAAGCUAUUUGUGGAAGUGUCUGUGGGAGCUGGCGCCUUGCCUGGAGCCCUUGAGCGGGCAGGAAGGGCGAUCCAGCACAAGCAGAAGGUUUUGGAAGAUAGGCUCUGACAGUGAUUAGAGGCAAGGGAAGGCUUCCCUGCUACAGUGAGCGUCACUUUUUUUUUUUUUAAAAAAACCUGUCCUUUCUGAGGUUGCAUUAGUUGCUAGGACUGUUUCUGUUUGCAGGAGAAGAGCUAGAACGUGACUGAGGCGUGCAAGUCGCCGAACGACACAGGCAAGUCAGUCUGUGCCCUCGUGUAGCCCCUCUUAAAUAAUUUAGGAGAUGACCGCUUGCAACUGAGCGGCAAUACGGGAGUCAGUACGUUGCACACCCAAUUAACGUGCUAACCUGCCAAACUCUUUGCCGGGAGAUACUGCUGAGCCCUCCCCAAAAAAACCAUAGCGGAUUUUUCUCAACGUAUAACACUUACAGGUAUGCGAGCUAGGAUAAAAAGUAUACAUGACAAAAAGCUUCAGGAGGGGGUCCCCUGAUGCAAAGGAAAUCUGUCCCUCGUGGUGGUGCUGUUCCAUCGUUGUCAGUUAUAAGGAGUGUUAAAUGUUCCUCUGUUAGCAGCUGGUGUGGGGUAUUAUUUUAGAGAGGGCAUUAAAUUAGAUGGGUUAUCAGUGUAAUUCAAUACGACAAUUUCUGUGGUCAUAUCCUGAAGACAGUGGAAAAGGUGGGGAGAGGGAGCAGCACCCAUGACACACACAAAUGCUAACUGGAGGGGAAAGAGGCAUUCAUUUCUUGUUAGCGCAUAGAAAUGUAAAUGUACUGAUUUAUGUAACUUCCCAAAGCUUAGCUGCUCGCUGCCUGAAGAAGCGUUCUUAAAACACAUAUCCAAAUUAAGAUGCCACGUGUCAGAUAGAUUGCUCCGUGUAGAAACUUUGUUUGCAAAGUCAACAUUUUUCCAGCAGCCUUUUUAAAGUCCUUUAAAAACCCAAACCAAACUGUCUGGAGAAAGAAAUGUCUGUCUGUUGCUGGUAUCAAGGUCUGAGAAGGUGGUUUUGAGGCCAGCUGUGUCAGACAAAGCCGGUGUCAUGCUGUCACGACAGCCCAGUCUUGGAUGGACAAGUGUUGGCAUCUUUGGAUAUGUACUCGUUAAAAUUAAUUCAAGUCCAAACAGCACCAAAGAAAUGAUUUAGCAAAUGAAUUGCCUUAUUUUGACCUGCCUGAGCGCAAUGAUUUGGGAUUCUGUAACGUUUCAAACUGAGAUGGGGAGCGUGGGAUGUGUUAUGCUUCACCCAACAUCUUAAUGCAGCAUUUCCGCUGCGAGGGAAGGUGUGAAAAGUAAAGUUAAAGCUGUCAUCUCUGGUUUUUUCCUCUCCCUAGGACUGGUCUCUCCCUUUUACUCGGAGCUACCCCAGACUUGCACAGAGGAACUCUCAGGGAGAGGACCACGUAACGUUGGACGACGAACGCUUUAAACCCAGGAUCUGAACGCUGCGUUUAGAGUGCCCUGCAGGCGAGGCGUAGAGGAAGGAUUUAAAAUUAGAUGCAUGGAGGCAGGUGAGAAGUAAACUAUUUGUGUUCCCAGCGUGGUGCUGCUCCUUUCCCCAUGUCUUCAUUUUAUUCAGUAUUUUGGAUUACAUUGAUAGUGCCGAAGAGUUGGGGCUGUUUUCCGAAAUGUUGGUAUCCAAAAGCGUGAAGCAAGGUGUGCUUCUGCACGUAUCACAAACAAUAUUCGUGCUUUUUUUUUUUCACUUUAAAUAAUGAAACUCCUGCUUUAACUAAUGAUACCUUUAAAUGAUGAUAAUUUUGCUGUUCUAGCAGCCCUGAAGUUGAGCCAUUGAAAAAUCAGUGGUGCUUAUAUCAGCCUAACCUUGAGGACAGGUAUUAAUUUCUCAAGAAGUCUCACAAGCUCUAACAGGACAGAGAAAAUUAGCUGCUGAUUAUUGGUACUUUUUAGGAGAGAUGAAGACACGCUCUUUCAAAAUACUUCUCCAGUGAUUAUAUCCCUCAUCAAACCAUCCCAGGAAGGCAAUUCAACGCUCUGCGAGGCUCAGCCGUGCCUCGUGCUCUCGACUGGUUAUUAGUCCUUUUGGAUAACCGUCGUUCUCCGUAUUCAGGUUUCUGAGAGGAAAGGUUAAUGCACGUUGGCUCAUAAACACCACUCUGAACGCGCUGAGAUGCUUUGUGCUGGGCGCACGAGAGCCUUGGUCACGUGCGGACAAGAGUUACUUGCACAUGGAGAACCGGCGACUGAUUGAAAAAAAAAAAAAAAAAGAAAAAGAGUUUCAGGCUAAGUGUAUGAAGGGGCCUUUGAAUGGAUUUGGCUGUAAUGCAGAGCUGUUGCUGGAGAGCUCUUUGGCAGAAGGAAAGAUGCUCCAGCUAAGAAUUGGUUGUGUGUUGUAUCAAAGACAAGGGGUCGGGGAUUGGAGUAAGUGGAUCUUACAGUAAAUGGAUCAGAGAGAUCAGGAUGCAGAAACUAAAGUGAAAGAAAAUGACAGGUGAGAGUAACCACUUGUCCUGGUUUUGGCUGAGAUAGAGUUAAUUCUCUUUCUAGUAGCCGGUACAGCGCUGUGUUUUGGAUUUAGGAUGAGAAUAAUGUUGAUAAUGCACUGAUGUUUUAGUUGUUGCUGGGUAGCUGUAGUGUCUACACUAAGUCAAGGACUUUCCAGCUCUUCUCACGCUGCCAGGUGCACGAGAAGCUGGGAGAGCACGGCCAGGACAGCUGACCUAGGCUGGCCCAAGGGAUGUUCCCUGCCAUGAAAUGUCAUGCUCCCGAUAUAACUGGGGAAACUAGCCAGGAGGUGGGAUUGCUGCUCAGAAACAGACCAGGCAUCAUUUUUCUUUUUUUUUUUUUUUGGUAUGUGGUGAGCAAUUGCAUUUGUGCAUCACUUGUUUUAUGUAUAUUGUUGUCGUCGUUGCUGUUGUUAUUAUUUUCUUCCUUUGUUAUCCUAUUAAACUGUCUUUAUCUCAACCCACGAUGGUUUUUCCCAUUGUCCUCCCCAUCCCCUUGGGGUGAGGCGGGGUGAGCGAGCGGCUGUGUGGUGCUCAGUUACCGACUGGGGUUAAACCACGCUGCCACUGAUGAAACUUGAAGCCCUGAGUGCUUCAAACAUGGGGAAGGAGCUCCAGGAGCUUUACUCAGCCCUAAAUAACCAGGAUAGGUGAGAACUGACCUGUGAUGUUCUCCUAGGUGGGACAGGGUGACCGUCUGGGUGGCCAAGGGUAUUAGGGAAGGAUUUGGUUGCGGAUAGUGCGGAUGUAGCAUGGAUCCCUCCUCAGACUCACUUGGAGCCUGCGAUCCUAACCUCACCCCUUUACCAGCUGCUUAAUGUCUGGAGACAUCAACGUACCUUCGUGGGACAAAAUAAAACGUACUCCAGCCUGAGCAGAAGCAGCUGAUCCAAACCAUCUCCAAACGCUCCCAGCCUGGCCAGAAGCUGCUGCGGUGAAGUGUUUUGGAGAUGACCGCAGUUUUCUCAUGCUCCCAUUUGUGAUUAUUUGGCAGACAAUGGUUUUUGUCUGUGGACUCCAAAACGCAGUGGCUGUUGCCUCUCAACCUCAAACUGGAGAUGUGAGCCCCUGGUUUGGCUCCCACUGCACCUUCACUGUGCUGUUAGAUCCCACCAGCAGAGUGUCUCCCAGGUUGAGAAAUAACCGCUAAUGCACAGGAGAGCCCCAAAAGAUUGGGAGCAUGUUCAAAACAACAACAACAAAAUAGAUCUGUACGGGAUUCCAGCUGUGAGCACUGGUACAAGAGGGCGGAAGCUUGUGGGAGAAGAAAGUAGGCAGGCAUGAGAAGACCGAAAUGAAUCGGGAUAUUUAUUUUCACUGCAAGUUGUUCGUCAUCCUGGAAGAAUAUGUGCUCCGCUUUGCAUGUGGCUUGAAGAGAUGUGUGGGCCCGAGAGAUGCCUGGAGGAUAAUUUGACUGGUUUAAAAAAAAUAAUCAGAAGGGAAGGAGAGGCUGGUCAGAGUUGCAGAAAUAAAAGCAACGGAGGGAGUAUGUGUGCAACGUGAAACCUGAAUGCAAAAAGAGGAUUGGUAGCACGAGAAUUCCAGCCUUGGUGCUCUGUUUCUAUAAACAUUUCUAGUGGUGAGUCAGGUCAUCUCUCCCCCUGAACCGGGAAUGCUCCAAGGCUCCUUCACGGACCCCACGUAAACCUGGAGUACCUGCAGACCCAUGGCUGAGGUCCAGCUGGGGAAGCCCUCCUGCUGCAAGAAGGCUUUGAAGCCUCCUCCCUGCUCACUGCACGGGUACAGCGUAUCCCAGGAGCAGCGAAACGGCUCGGGCUUGUCUGGAAAUUGCUGGUUUGAAGAAUGAAGUGAAAGAAGGCUGCGUUUUUCCUCGCUUUCCCAACCAUGGAGAUUCAUGAGGUGGCCGGAUCAGGAUGUCACCCGCAGAGCCCUGUGGAAAUGGGAGAUGGUUCUGGAGGGUGCAAGACGGGUUCAGGGGCAAAUGGAAAUCAGGGAUGUAAGAGCACUUUCGCUUUGAGGCUCGUCGCAGCGGAGACUGGAGGUGGUUAGAAGGACAACGUUCUGGUUUUACGCUACCACCGCUCUCCCGUUCAGCCCAGUGUGAGGUGGCCACCAGGCUCCCACAGGUGACUCCUGAUCAGAGCCGGUCUUGGUUGGAGAUACUCGCCCCGCUUCACGCUCCUCAUCUCCUGAAGGCCACGUUUGUCCACCUCCGCCCUUUCUGGAGAGGAUGCUAGAGCGGUGGAUACUUGAAGACGUGGUUCAGGCUGUGCCCCCUUCUCUCCGAGACGUACCUUUAAGUUGGCUUUCAACUCCACGUGACGUGGUCAGCGAUGACAUAGCACUGUUCUUGGGACAGGUUUGCAAUAGCACAGCAGAUUUGCCUGUUGCUCCGGUGCCGUCCAGCUGCCCGUGAGACUCCUUAUAGAAGGAAAGACCACACUUCCUACCUUACGGUGUAGACCCGCGAGUACCCGUGUACCUUGGCGUAAGAACAAGCGCCUGCAGCUUCCCCCUCUUGUGUGGCAGAGCCGUAUCCCGCGCGGCAGGAGCAUCGUGGACCGGGCGUCUGGGUUGCCUGGUCCCUUGCCAGGUUUUGAUGAACGGACGCGUGGGCAGGAGGUUCCCACCUUCCGCUAAGGAAUUCCCAAGGUUGGCAGAAGCUGUAGGGGAUAUUUAGGAAGAAUCCCUUGGGUUUUCUAGUCCUGAAUUUUGUAUUUGGAGUAAAUACUUCCAUGUGGGCUGAGUCUUUAAAGGAUCAUCGCUUGCUUAUCGUCAUCUAAUGGCGCGCAUGAAAGAUCAGUCACUGGGCGUGCUGCUUGCAUUUGAUAUGAAGUAGGCUCAACGGUAAGGAAGACCGAGACGCGCUCCAGCCACCCUGGGCCAGCCCAAGCUGCAGCGGAGUGACGCAGCCCGCCAGAGCAAGGGACGCGCUGGAGGGACUGACGCUGCUUCCCAGCUCUUCAGGGGAUGGAGAAGCUUAGGGAAAACGGAGGGGAAAAAAAAUGUCAAGGCUGAGCAGAAAAGGCGAAACGCACGCGGCGUCCUCCGUUCUCACUCAUUUUCCCACGUGAUAACGCAAAAAUGGCAUCUUCUCCAUCACCCAGAAGAGUCUCCUCCUCCCUCGCAGAGGGAAGAGUCCUUCCAUGCCAGCCCUGAUGUAAAAGGCAGAGAAACUUCUCUGCUAUACCAAUUCCAAGGAGAAGAAGAAAAAAAAAAAAAAGUCGGUCAGAAUUGGAGACUUUCACGAGCAUUAAAUUAAAACAGUGCGCAGGGUCUGUUUUGGUUCCCGGGCAUGAACAUCGUAUCAACUCUCCACUCUGCCUGCUGCCUGAUAACGGCGGUACCCACCGGCUAGGCUCAGCCUGCGGUACGAUAUGCAAAAAAAGAGGACGAGAAAUAAAAAGCAGCAGCCUCGCGCAGGCUGGUAAAUGUAAUUUCAGGUGUCUCAGCCUCUCUCUCGUUACCUCCUGUUCCCUGGCUCCCAGGUAAUUAAUUCUGCAGAAGGAGAACCCCCAACGUCUGAUGGAGGCG